GGGAAGGUAGCUCAGUGGUAGAGUGCAGUGCUUAGCAUGCACAAAGUCCUAGGUUCAAUCCCUAGUAUCUCCA
rnacentral:tRNA from 1 species